rnacentral:rRNA from 1 species
AUUGAACGCUGGCGGAAUGCUUUACACAUGCAAGUCGAACGGCAGCACGAGAGCUUGCUCUUGGUGGCGAGUGGCGAACGGGUGAGUAAUAUAUCGGAACGUAUCCAAUAAUGGGGGAUAACUAAUCGAAAGGUUAGCUAAUACCGCAUACGCCUACGGGAAAGCAGGGGAGUCUUCGGACCUUGCGUUAAUGGAGCGGCUGAUAUCUGAUUAGCUAGUAGGUGAGGUAAAGGCUCACCUAGGCUUCGAUCAGUAGCUGGUCUGAGAGGACGACCAGCCACACUGGAACUGAGACACGGUCCAGACUCCUACGGGAGGCAGCAGUGGGGAAUUUUGGACAAUGGGCGCAAGCCUGAUCCAGCCAUUCCGCGUGCAGGAUGAAGGCCCUCGGGUUGUAAAACUGCUUUUGUACGGAACGAAAAAGGUUUGUCUUAAUACGAUGAGCUCAUGACGGUACCGUAAGAAUAAGCACCGGCUAACUACGUGCCAGCAG